UAACAGUGGAUACAACAGUCCAUGAUAUCCCAUAACUGUGACAACAUCUGGCCAUCUUGGCAGGGCAAGUCUAGUCUCUCUGCAUUGCUUUAUCCCACCUUCUGGAAGUGCAAAAGGUCCCCAUAAGUGAGGAAAAUGGAACUACCCUAUGAAACAAAACCUUUUGAAACUGGCAAACAACAGACAGUAAUUUCUUGACAGGCAAAAGAGCAGUAUCAAACUUGAAUAAAUCAACUGUGGAUGCCCCUUUUUUGAAUAAGUUUUGAAUAUUCUGCUGACAGACUGAUUUCUUCAUCUUACUGGUGAUUUUCCAGCUUAGUAAAGGUAAC